UACAGAGGGUGCGAGCGUUAAUCGGAAUUACUGGGCGUAAAGCGUGCGCAGGCGGCUUUGCAAGACAGAUGUGAAAUCCCCGGGCUUAACCUGGGAACUGCAUUUGUGACUGCAUGGCUGGAGUGCGGCAGAGGGGAUGGAAUUCCGCGUGUAGCAGUGAAAUGCGUAGAUAUGCGGAGGAACACCGAUGGCGAAGGCAAUCCCCUGGGCCUGCACUGACGCUCAUGCACGAAAGCGUGGGGAGCAAACAGG
rnacentral:rRNA from 1 species